AGCGAACGCUGGCGGCAGGCCUAACACAUGCAAGUCGAACGAUCCUUCGGGAUAGUGGCGGACGGGUGAGUAACACGUGGGAACGUGCCUUUUGGUUCGGAACAACACAGGGAAACUUGAGCUAAUACCGGAUGUGCCCUUCGGGGGAAAGAUUUAUCGCCAUUAGAGCGGCCCGCGUCUGAUUAGCUAGUUGGCGGGGUAAAGGCCUACCAAGGCGGCGAUCAGUAGCUGGUCUGAGAGGAUGAUCAGCUACAUUGGGACUGAGACACGGCCCAAACUCCUACGGGAGGCAGCAGUGGGGAAUCUUGCGCAAUGGGCGAAAGCCUGACGCAGCCAUGCCGCGUGAAUGAUGAAGGUCUUAGGAUUGUAAAAUUCUUUCACCGGGGACGAUAAUGACGGUACCCGGAGAAGAAGCCCCGGCUAACUUCGUGCCAGCCGCCGCAGUAA
rnacentral:rRNA from 1 species